rnacentral:rRNA from 1 species
UAGGGAAUAUUAGUAAUGGGCGAAAGCCUGAACUGGCAACGCCGCGUGUGCGGAGAAGGCCUUCGGGUUGUAAAGCACUUUUUGAGAGGAUGAGGAAGGACGGUACUCUCAGAAUAAGUCUCGGCUAACUACGUGCCAGCAGCCGCGGUAACACGUAGGAGGCGAACGUUAUCCGGAUUUACUGGGCGUAAAGCGCGUGUAGGUGGUUUGGUAAGUAGGGCGUGAAAGCUCCUGGCUCAACUGGGAGAGGCCGUUCUAAACUGCCGAACUAGAGGAUGGUAGAGGGAGGUGGAAUUCCGGGUGUAGCGGUGGAAUGCGCAGAUAUCCGGAGGAGCACCAGUGGCGAAAGCGGCCUCCUGGACCAUUCCUGACACUCAGACGCGAAAGCUAGGGUAGCAAACGG